CGUUACAACGCCUGCACGUCACAAGUUGCCACCGUAUCCAAUUUCUCCUCUCCUUCUCUCCUUAUCCUCACGCUGCAUAACAGGCCAUCAAUCUUAUCCUCAAGCCGCCCCAGCUGAUUCUUUCGUGGAGCAUCAGUUUACUUGGCCGUGCAGCUUAUCUCGCUGCUCCCAGUACACUUGCUUCACCCAUGCAUUCACCGUCAUCCAUGGAUCCACGCAGCAUCUCUCCAGCCGCUCGGACUCCACCACGCCCGGUCGUGCGCUCGCCCUGCUUCCUGUUCCCACGCUCGUCCUUGGUUCCAUGGCCGGUGCUCCCUCAAGCUUAGUUUCCAUGGCCGUUCGUCCUGGCCGCGGUUCCCUGGCAUCCGCGCGCGCCCAUCUCUCUGCUACCGCCCUCCCAUGGACGCGCGCAGCUCCCCAUCUCCCACGCGCGCCCCUGCUUCCCUGUUCUCUGUUCCCGGUGCCGGAUUUCCUGCGGGCUCCCUCUCCCACGGCCGUCUCCUUCCCCUAGCAAUUGGCUGCCGCUGCAUCACGCCCAGAAAGCGCUCGACCGCCGUUCCCAGCGUCGGCUUCUCCAGUCUGCCCUGGCUCAACGCUUGGACACCGGGUCCACUGUGCUCGUCCGUGCCCCGGACUCCAUGGCGUUCUCGCCUCCAUGCUAGCUCCAGCCGAGUCUUUUUUCCCAUCGAGCUCGCCCUCAACUCUACAGCGCCGUCUAGCCCGUCGUUUUUCUCGUCCAGUGCUCGCGCGGUUUUACCCGAACCGCGCUGCCGUCUCCUAGUUGCCGUGCUGCCAGCACUCACCCAGCUUCCUUGUUGGCCGCGCCUCUAUACUCUACUCCUACCGGAUGUCGCCUCCGUCAGCCUGUCAUCAUUCAGGCGAAUAUCAAAUCAAAUUGAGAUAUGUACAAUGUGUGAACAGGUACCCUCGGACUAAAGUUGGCAUUGCAGUAGACCGGAAUAAUACGAAGCUUGAUACAGAGCCGAAGGUGUUGAGCAGGAAAGCUUCGGCGUAACAGCAAAGAGUGGAACCGACUUAAAGAUGAAAAGGCUAUUCAGACCUCGAUAGACUACUAUAGAGUUAUUAUCAAAUGUAAAGGGCAUGAAUGUAAUUUUGUAAGGGCUGUGUCCCGUGU
rnacentral:misc_RNA from 1 species